rnacentral:lncRNA from 1 species
CGUAAUUGAGCUUCGACACAAACCGCUGGUGGAGAUGAACACGGAGGAGGUGUGCCAGUGGUUCAGCAGCAUCGGCUUUCAGAAGUGCCUGCCUUUCAUUAGAGAGGCAGAACUAACAGGUUCCCACAUUACCUGCAUUGACCUCGAUCUUCUGGAUGUUCUCCGAGUGUCUGGUCUGGAGGAGCGAGAGCGACUUCUGUCUGCCAUCUACAAGGAACUUCACCCACCCAACACCACCACCCAGAAACUGGACAUCCUUCUAGUUACUGCAGACAAUGGAGGUUGAGGAAGAGUUUGAUGUGCAGCAUCAUAAACAACUCAGAGAGACCUGCUGUAUUUCACAAACAACAAGAACAAGAGGAUUUUAGUGGAAGUAGAACUUUAAAUGUUCUAGUUUUAUUAAAGGGGAAGGACCCU